UGAGGGGCGAAGGCCGGGGGAGCGAACCGGAUUAGAUACCCGGGUAGUCCCGGCAGUAAACGGUGGGCGCUAGGUGUGGGGAGUCUCGACCCUCCCCGUGCCGCAGGGAAACCAAUAAGCGCCCCGCCUGGGGAGUACGGGCGCAAGCCUGAAACUCAAACCAAUUGACGGGGGCCCGCACAAGCGGCGGAGCAUGUGGCUUAAUUCGAUGCUACCCGAAGAACCUUACCAGGGCUUGACAUGCUGGCUUAAGCCUGCCCGAAAGGGAGGGGUGGGACGGUUUCCGCCGUCCAGCCAGCACAGGUGGUGCACGGCUGUCGUCAGCUCGUGCCGUGAGGUGUCCGGUUAAGUCCGGCAACGAGCGCAACCCCCGCCACCAGUUGCCAGCGGGUAACGCCGGGCACUCUGGUGGGACUGCCCGCGUAAGCGGGAGGAAGGUGGGGAUGACGUCAAGUCCGCGUGCCCCUGAAGUCCUGGGCUGCACACAUGCUACAAUGCCCGCUACAAAGGGUUGCGAACCCGCGAGGGGGAGCGAAUCCCAAAAAAGCGGGCUCAGUUCGGAUCGCAGGCUGCAACUCGCCUGCGUGAAGGCGGAGUCGCUAGUAACCGCCGGUCAGCAAUACGGCGGUGAAUACGUUCCCGGGC
rnacentral:rRNA from 1 species